AGUGAACGCUGGCGGCGUGCCUAAUACAUGCAAGUCGAACGGAGUGGCGCACGGGUGAGUAAUAUAUAGCUAAUCUGCCCCUUGCUGUAGGAAAACAGUUAGAAAUGACUGCUAAUACUCCAUAGCAAGGGAUGAGACUAUAUCGUAUCAGCUAGUCGGUGGGGUAACGGCCUACCGAGGCUAUGACGCGUAACUGGUCUGAGAGGAUGAUCACCAACAUUGGAAGGGAGACACGGUCCAGGAUCCUUCGGGAGUGAGCAGUAGCGAAAUUUGCGCAAUGGGCGUAUCUGUGAAGCAGCAUCGCCGCGUGGAGUAUGACACUUUACGGGGAGUACGCUCCGUUUGAUAACGAAACGGUACCUAACGAAUAAGCACCGGCUAACUCCGUGCCAGCAGCCGCGGUAAUUC
rnacentral:rRNA from 1 species